CCUACUGGAGGCAGCAGUGGGGAAUAUUGCACAAUGGGCGAGAGCCUGAACCAGCCAAGUCGCGUGAGGGACGACGGCCCUACGGAUUGUAAACCUCUUUUGCCGGGGAGCAAACGACGCCACGCGUGCCGUUCCGAGAGUACCCGGAGAAAAAGCAUCGGCUAACUCCGUGCCAGCAGCCGCGGUAAUACGGAGGAUGCGAGCGUUAUCCGGAUUUAUUGGGUUUAAAGGGUGCGUAGGCGGGAUACCAAGUCAGCGGUCAAAUAGAGAGGCUCAACCUCUUUGCGCCGUUGAAACUGGUUUUCUUGAGUGAGCGAGAAGUAUGCGGAAUUCGUGGUGUAGCGGUGAAAUGCUUAGAUAGCACGAAGAACUCCGAUUGCGAAGGCAGCUUAC
rnacentral:rRNA from 1 species